UUUGAUAUAGUGGCUAGGAUUUGUCGCUCUCAUGAGUUUCUUGUAGACUCGAGGUCCGACAAGGCCGGGGUUCAAUUCCCCGUUUCGGAA